rnacentral:tRNA from 3 species
CGCGGGGUGGAGCAGUCUGGUAGCUCACCGGGCUCAUAACCCGGAGGUCGUUGGUUCAAAUCCAGCCCCCGCAACCA